GUCAUGAUUAUAAAGGAUUCUUGGCAUGGAAUGAUAAAUAAUAAAUUAAAAAAAGAACGAAAGCCUCUUGUUGACAGGAAUUUCAUCAAUGAGCCAGGACAAUAUUUCAGAAAAGGAAAAAAAACAAAGCCUGGCUGAAAAUGUUACUACAAUUGUAGAUAUGACUACAACGGAUGAAUUUAGUAUUAACCAGCACAUCAUCAAGACGAAGGCAGAGUGUGAAAAAACCCCCGAACAUUUUCAUGCUCGAGGAUAAAAUGAAGAGAACUGAGACGGAGAGAGAGGUCUUCAUAAAAGAGAGGACCACUCAAGAAGUUCUAAAUCAGUACCCUGCCUUGCGCUUGCCGGCAAUUAAAUGAAAUCAAAAUCUACCAUAGAUGUAGACAGGAGAAUACUGACUGGAUUUGGGACCAGGGCAGAGAAAAUACUCACUGAGGUACAAAGAAGAGGUGUGGCAAAUGAAAUACUGACCAUGUACAACAAUGCACUAAAAUCACAUGUAGAAGAGGCACAUAAAGUUCUUGUGUUGCCAUACCUGCUCCACGAAGAUCCAUCAGGACUUUAUGUUAUAAAUGAGAUAUGUUUAGUCCCACCCUCCUUGUUAACCCAUUAUUAGUUAAUUAUGUUC